GCUUUUCCCAGUUACAAAAGAGUUUUAAUGUAAUGUCUUUACAAUGACUAUCCCUCCUUAUGUAAACUGUGGAUGAUGAAACAACCAGAAUAAGUUUGGGAAACAAAACCCCUUAUGUGCUCUGUUGGUGGCAGUUGAUACGCUCUGAAGAAAAUGGUUUCUCCUGGUUGUACUUUGGACAGUGGGGGGUUGAUACGUUGUUUCUUAAAACUUGAACUAUAACUUGUACUUUCUUUGGAAACACAUCUUGAAGGUUUUACUGAGUUAUCUAAAUUAAUUAAUUUGAAAUUCAGGCUUUCCUAAAUUGUUUAACUGCCAUAAAGCUGACUAGAAACCCAGAAAAACACACAACUGUUGCAAUGGUCAAACUAAUGUUGGCAGUAUGAUCCAGUGUGCACACACACACUCAGGUAUGGCAGGCAUGGAUAAUGUUGCAGGCGUGCGGGGAAUGCCCGGCCUGUGAGGGCUGCAGCUGACAGCUGUCACCUCCUCUGUCAAGAUCAGCCCAUCUCUUCCCAGGCUUUCAUCUCCCUGUCUCUCACUCUCACACACUCACUCAAAUGUAUCUCCUCAACUUUCUCUCUCACACUCUUUCUCACUACAUGUGUAUUUGUUUGCACGCUCACACAUUAAUACCACUGGCACACAGUGGUAUUGGUCUAUUAUGUUACUUCACAUUAUAGGCACACCCUGUUGUCUUAGUAAACAGUCCGUCCUGCUGAUAUCGGGUUAUUCUUUAAAGCAUUACUUAUCGACACGUCAGAGUCCAAAGUAACACUCUGCAGGGUCACUAGCUAUCUGAGCCACUUAAAUUUCACCCGAUAGGCCUUUUGCUUCACUCUCAUACACUUGAAUUGAACCAUAUUUACAACUGAAGCUUUAUUUCUUCAAAACCAAACAGUAACGAUGAUUUUAAAGCAGACUACAAGAUGGCAAAAAGGAAGGAAUCCUCUCACUCGGCUAUAAUAGCAAUAUACAUAGCCCUUUAUCAUUUAUAUGUGGGUGGGUGUUUUCUUUUCUUAAUGUUGGGUCGUCCGUCUUCUCCACUUGUUUGUCUUGUCCCUGCCACAUUCCUGAUUAUAGUUGUAAAUUGAAAGCGAGUUUAUUAAAAAUCAGUAGACCAUGACAACUCCUCUGAUCACUGGGCACAGGAAAGGAAUGUCUCAAUUUGGGAGGUAACUAAAAUUGCUUUUUAAAAUACAGAUCAGAAUGAAUAGAAGGUCAUACAAGUUAAGUUUCAGAAGAAAGUAAACGUCACAUUUUAAUGUCAGGAAUAUCAGCUCAGGUUUUUUCUGAAUGUAUUUUCCCAAUGUUUUAGAAAACAGCAUAUGCUUUCAUAUUUUGUGCAUUUAUUUAAACAUAGCUUACGUCAACAUGAAUUAUAGUUUAACAAAGGGUAGUUAGUUCCUAUGGACGCUGAGGCGAUCAGUGCAUAAUGUAUUUAAAAUUCCUGUCAUACACAUUUGAUGAGCUACAGUUAAAUGGGAUUAAUACAGCACUUAUUUGGAAACUUCUGACACCUCUGAAUAUAUUAUGCCUUUUACAUCUAUGAGCUAUAUCAACUCCAAAAUGUAGGAAAGGAGAAGGGGUGUAUGCCAGACCAUGCAGUGGUUAAAGAAAUAUUAAAACAUGUUUUAACAGAUCUUACACUAAUGAAGACGAUGCUGGUUGAAACAUGUCGGCUCUUUCAUUUUCCUGCCAGAUGAGUCCCAUUCUAGACUCUCCUUUUAUCUUUAUUGGAUAUCGCUCAAUUUCUGCUUUGCCAGAUAUACACAGAAAUAUAAAAAUGGUUCCAUCAAACAACACCGUGGCUUCAGAAAGAGCUGCGGCAGAGGCUGCUGUUUGAUGGUGGGAUGUGGAUUUCAAAGCAGUAUCUUGACCAUACCUUCUGAAUGUGGUAUUUACCCUUAGUCUGCCUUUUUGAGUAGGAGUGUGUGUGUUACUAUACUUGCAUAAUUCAAAGAGAUAAAGUGUGUGACAGGUAGAGAUGAGGAUGAAAAAGGGAUGUGACAUGCCCAUGGACUGCUGUUAACUGUGCUGCUGUGUGUUUCAGAUGAAAAUGUUCAGGAGAUGGCUGAAGAGUUGGUGCAGCUGGGCUUAAUCAGUGAGGUGGACCAAAACAAAAUAGCCUCCCUACUAGAAGAAUCCUUCAGCCAAGCUCUUCAAUAGCAACGAUUUCCUCCACGAAAUACCUGUCCCCUCAUUAGUACACUCUCUUAACCCUGUUACAUCUUCUGUUUGGUUACUCAACAUGGUGAUUACAUUAAGUGGGGUUUUUGUAUUUUUGUUCUUCUAAGCCUUAGGUGAAAAUGUGACCAAAAGGGUGGGUUCUCUUCCUCUGCAUCAGGGAAUCAAACCUCCCCAAAGCACAGAAAACCUUUAACAUGCUGUCAAGCUAAUUUCAGAGUCCAGUUUACUCCAAAGAAGCUCCCUGGACUGAUAUCACAUUUUAGCUGUAAAAGUUAAGAACCAUUUAAAUCUAUAUGAGAGGAUUUAUUCUGAAUGUGUUAGCUUUUACAUUGGCUGUUAAAUGUUAACCUCAUGAAUGCUGCAAAAGACACUUCAUCACACCAGUGCUGACUAGAUUACUUACAGCUUUAAAGUCAAAACCACUUUCUCCAAGCCGCAGAUGUAUUUUAUUGUGAGGUGUUUACAUAACGAAUUGCCUGUUUGUGUUAGGAUGAGACGGGCUAAAACGCCAUCAAGUCUAAUUUAAAUAUUCACGAGUCACUCCACCUUUCACUACUGUUGUACUUAUAAACUUUAAUGAUCUCUAACCUAUAGCACCCCUAACAAGCCAAGCCGUUCUCCCCCCUCAUUUCAUGUGAAUCCCCCUCUCAUUUUGUUUUGCCUUAUGAUUUAUGAACAUUCCCGGCUCUUUGAUUUUUGUGUUGUGGUUUUUUACCAACAUGUCACCUAUCAGGUUAAAUAUAUAUAAGAGUUUGAAAACUGGAUGUGCAGAGAUGCAACUUUUUCAGAUAACUUAAUAAUUGACCUAUACCCAUGAUAAAUAUUUGAGAAGCCUUUGAUACAUAACAUAUUGUAUGUGCACAGCUGGAUAUUACAUUUUGGGUGGGCAUCAUGAUGCCAGAUGUCUCUGGAUGAUGGUUACUUUGAGGUACUGUGAACUCAGUGUUACUGAAUUUUCCGUUUGUGUGUUUGUUUUUAUAUUUUGCUCUACUGUUUGCCUUAUGCUGGGCCUACGCACAUGCCUUAAAGUCCUCUUUUCUCUGUUUGUUUUUAUUAUUUUAUUCAUCAUUUUACCAUUUGCUGCUUGUUGGGUUCACACAUGCUCCUCUGCCUGUAAAAUUCAUUCAUGUGAGACUUGUGUACUGAACUCGGCUGCCAUAUGCUGUAAAAAAGAGGACCUAGCCUUUUCCUGAUACAUCUAUGUGAGAGCGUCAAGAUUUAUUUAUGUUACAGACACUGUAUAGCAUGUCUUUUUCUUAUUUCUUUUUUGUUUACUGUGAUUAACACAGAGACCACAUUGAUGAGAGUCUGAGCCAAUAUACACUUCUAUUGCUUGAUUUCAUUUGAUCACCAUUUGGUUAAACUGGGACUUAGAGGGUUGAUUUUCCUUCACAGAGUGCAGAGGCACCUACACUUGAAUACAAAAGGUUACAUCUUACAUGUCAUGUUGAGACUUGUAUUGGGAUCAGGGAGUUGCCUGUGGCCUUUUGUGACAUUUUGGCUCAGAACUCUUUGUGGUCUACAGGUACUUUAGUGUCUCAAAGCCCAUACAAUGCAGGACCUUAAACGGCAGUAAGAAUGCACAUAAACCAUUACUUUCUCAGUAUGUAUUAAAAAAACAGAAACGAUACCAUUAGAUGCAAAAACGUACAAUUGAGAAUACAUUUUACCAGUUGAAUUGAAUGCUUCUGUAUUAGCUUUCAAUCGGAGCUUAGUUCUGUUGCUGAGAUAUAUUGUUUAAGUAGUCACUUCACCAAUUAGAUCGUAUUAAUCCAUUGAUCUCCACUCAAAUCUUUCUGUUUUAAAAAAAUGUAUUUGGGCAAAAAUUGUUCUCUAAUCUGCAUUU